GGUUCGAUCAUGGCUCAGAUUGAACGCUGGCGGGAUGCUUUACACAUGCAAGUCGAACGGCAGCACGGACUUUCGGUCUGGUGGCGAGUGGCAACUGGGUGAGUAAUGUAUCGGAACGUGCCUAGUAGCGGGGGAUAACUAUUGCAUGAAAGCGUAGCCAAUACCGCAUACGCCCUUCGGGGGAAAGCGGGGGGACCCUUCGGGCCUCGCACUAUUAGAGCGGCCGAUAUCGGAUUAGCUAGUUGGUGGGGUAACGGCUCACCAAGGCGACGAUCCGUAGCUGGUUUGAGAGGACGACCAGCCACACUGGGACUGAGACACGGCCCAGACUCCUACGGGAGGCAGCAGUGGGGAAUUUUACAAUGGGGAAACCCUGAUCCAGCCAUCCCGGCGUGUGUGCGAUGAAGGCCUCGGGUUGUAAAGCACUUUUGGCAGGAAAAAGAAACGGCACGGGAUAAUACCCUGUGCAACUGACGGUACCUGCAGAAUAGCACCGGCUAACUACGUGCCAGCAGCCGCGGUAAUACGUAGGGUGCAAGCGUUAAUCGAAAUUACUACUGGGCGUAAAGCGUGCGCAGGCGGUCCGGAAAGAAAGAUGAAAUCCCAGAGCUUAACUUUGAACUGCAUUUAACUACCGAGCUAGAGUGUGUCAGAGGGAGGUGGAAUUCCGCGUGUAGCAGUGAAUGCGUAGAUAUGCGGAGGAACACCGAUGGCGAAGGCAGCCUCCUGGGAUAACACUGACUGCUCAUGCACGAAAGCGUGGGGAGCAAACAGGAUUAGAUACCCUGGUAGUCCACGCCCUAAACGAUGUCAACUAGCUGUUGGGGCCUUCGGGCCUGCAGCGCAGCUAACGCGUGAAGUUGACCGCCUGGGGAGUACGGUCGCAAGAUUAAAACUCAAAGGAAUUGACGGGGACCCGCACAAGCGGUGGAUGAUGUGGAUUAAUUCGAUGCAACGCGAAAACCUUACCUACCCUUGACAUAUCUGAAAUCCAAAGAGAUUUGAGAGCUCGCAAAGAGGAGUCAAACACAGGUGCUGCAUGACACACGGCUUCAACGUGAGAUGUUGCCAAGGAGUCCCGCAACGGUGCACCUUUAUCACAGUUACACGAAAGGCGGCCUCUGGUGGAAAUUACUGCAAACACAAAACGGAGGAAGGGACGCCGGUUCUCGGGCCCGUGGUGGGCUUCGCCAUGGCGAAUGGUUCGCACAAGAGGUCCAACGCGAGGGGGAGCCAACGCAGAAACCCGAUCGAAGCCUGGAUCGCAGUCUGCAACUCGACUGCGUGAAGUCGGAAUCUCGCUAGUAAUCGCGGAUCAGCAUGUCGCGGUGAAUACGUUCCCGGGUCUUGUACACACCGCCCGUCACACCAUGGGAGUGGGUUUACCAGAAGUAGUUAGCCUAACCGUAAGGAGGGCGAUUACCACGGUAGGAUUCAUGACUGGGGUGAAGUCGUAACAAGGUAA
rnacentral:rRNA from 1 species